GCAGUCGAGGGGUAUAGGUUUUCGGACCUAGAGACCGGCGCACGGGUGCGUAACGCGUAUGCAAUCUACCUUUUACAGAGGGAUAGCCCAGAGAAAUUUGGAUUAAUACCUCAUAGUAUAGUACAACCGCAUGGUUGAACUAUUAAAGUCACAACGGUAAAAGAUGAGCAUGCGUCCCAUUAGCUUGUUGGUAAGGUAACGGCUUACCAAGGCAACGAUGGGUAGGGGUCCUGAGAGGGAGAUCCCCCACACUGGUACUGAGACACGGACCAGACUCCUACGGGAGGCAGCAGUGAGGAAUAUUGGUCAAUGGGCGCAAGCCUGAACCAGCCAUGCCGCGUGCAGGAUGAAGCAUCUAUGGUGUGUAAACUGCUUUUGUACGAGAAGAAACACUCCUACGUGUAGGAGCUUGACGGUAUCGUAAGAAUAAGGACCGGCUAACUCCGUGCCAGCAGCCGCGGUAAUACGGAGGGUCCAAGCGUUAUCCGGAAUCAUUGGGUUUAAAGGGUCCGUAGGCGGUUUUGUAAGUCAGUGGUGAAAGCCCAUCGCUCAACGGUGGAACGGCCAUUGAUACUGCAAGACUUGAAUUAUUGGGAAGUAACUAGAAUAUGUAGUGUAGCGGUGAAAUGCUUAGAGAUUACAUGGAAUACCAAUUGCGAAGGCAGGUUACUACCAAUAUAUUGACGCUGAUGGACGAAAGCGUGGGGAGCGA
rnacentral:rRNA from 1 species